UUCAAUUCGAUGCUACACGGAGAACCUUUACCUGGGUUUGACAUGUACGUGGUACGAAGGCGAAAGCCUAAGGACCCUUCGGGGAGCGUACACAGGUGCUGCGUGGCUGUCGUCAGCUCGUGCCGUGAGGUGUCGGGUUAAGUCCCGUAACGAGCGCAACCCUUGCCCUUAGUUACAAGUGUCUAAGGGGACUGCCGGCGGGAAGCCGGAGGAAGGUGGGGAUGACGUCAAGUCAGCAUGGCCCUUAUGUCCAGGGCUACACACACGCUACAAUGGUCAGUACAAAGGGUAGCGAAGUCGCGAGGCGGAGCGAAUCUCAACAAAGCUGAUCGUAGUUCGGAUUGCAGGCUGCAACCCGCCUGCAUGAAGCUGGAGUUGCUAGUAACCGCGCGUCAGCCAUAGUGCGGUGAAUACGUACCCGGGGCUUGUACACACCGCCCGUCACGUCAUGGGAGUCGGUAACGCCUGAAGCCGGUAGUCUGGCCCGCAAGGGGGGACGCUGUCGAAGGCGGGACUGGCAACUGGGACGAAGUCGUAACAAGGUAACCAAGGGCGAA
rnacentral:rRNA from 1 species